AACGCAUAUUGCACUCUCUGGUAUUCCGGAGAGUACACCUGUUCGAGCGCCAUAUCAAACCUCAAGUUUAACUUGGUGUUGGAGAAAAUCGUCUUAGAUUCCUCCGAAACUGAUAGGUGUAACCUAAUUGCCUCAAGUGUAGCAAUGUUAUGUCCGCGCUUGUAUUGAAGGGAGGUUACGUCCUUAAAAGAGGGAUUCUACAAGGAAGGAAUCCUUCUACUUUCAAGUUUGGCCUCGAAUCAGGUGGGGAUACCCGCUGAACUUAA
rnacentral:misc_RNA from 1 species